CCCUUAGAUGUUCUGGGCUGCACGCGUGCUACAAUGGCGCUUGCAACAAGUCUUGCCAACCCGAUAGGGUGAGCGGAUCUUUGAAGAGGCGUCGUGAUCGGGACAGUUGAUUGCAAUUAUUCGACUCGAACGAGGAAUUCCUUGUAAUCGCGAUUCAUCAUAUCGCGCUGAAUACGUCCCUGCCCUUUGUACACACCGCCCGUCGCUCCUACCGAUUGAGCGAUCCGGUGAAUGUUUUGGACUGGCGUCAGAAGCGGUUCGCUCCUGACACUACGGAAUUUUGUAAACCUUAUCGCUUAGAGGAAGGAAAAGUCGUAACA
rnacentral:rRNA from 1 species